CCCGCCGUUCCCCGCCGCCCGCCCCCGGGUCCCUCCCCCGAGGCCGAUCCCCCUCCCCCGGGUCCCUCCCCCGGCUCCAGGUCCCCCCGGCGCGGUGAGGCGAGGCCCGGCCCGGCGGGGCCCGGCCCGGCGCUGGGCGGAGCCGCCUCUGGCCCCUCCGAGCGGGCGGGCGCCUCGCGCUCAGCGUUUCGCCCCUCUCCUCUCCCCCCCCGGGCCUCGGCGGGGCCCGGCCUUACCGCUCAUGGUGGCCGGGGGCCGAGCCCGAGCGGCGGCGGGGCGGGGAGGAGGGGGCGGGCGCGCCCGGCGCGCUGAGGCGGCGGCCUAACCCCGCCGGUGACCGCCGAGGGGCUGCCGAGGGAGGGAGCCGCGCACCGCUGCCCCGGCCCCGCUGCCCGCCCCCGCCGCCUCCUCGCCCAAUGGCAGCGCGUCGAGGGCGCCCCGUCCUUCCGUCACCGCCCCGCCUGCCGCCAUCUCGCAGCGUAGGCCUCGUCACGACGCUGACACCGCAGGAGCUCUGUCACGAUAGCCAACCCUCUGCCCUGUCACGAUAUGGCAGCCCUGCGACAAAGCCGGGCUGGGAGCCGUCGCUCCUGGGCUGCCAUCAAAGCCCUCUCAGGACUCCACACAGCGCAGCCCAUCGCUUUGAGGCACUGCUGACCCCAGCCCCACGGAGCCCUUUUCCUCCACCCGUUGGUUUUGAAGCCCCCCAUCGCCGCUUCCUGCUGUCCCCCAUUUCCUGGGGCUGUUUUUUGGUUUAUUUUUCUCUCUCCUUCCCCCCCCCCUUCCCUCCCCAUCGCAGCUGGAAAGUUCUGCAGUCGCCCGCCAUGACCUCACCGCGCUUCCAGCGGAACUCUUUUAUUUUUGCUUUCCAUUCCUGGCAGAUGGCGAACCCCAGAGCAGUGCUGUGCCAAUGGCGAAGGGACGAACCUCCUGCCUCAGUGCUGCUGUGUGUCCCCGGGGUCGGUGAAGUUCCCUGGCUCUGCGCCCACCGGUGGGGCCGGGCCUGGUGCUGGGGAGGGCUGUGGGGCUUUAUCUUUUCCCUGCAUGGUGUGGGUGGGGGCACAUUGCUGUCCCUAAACUGGGUCACAGCCAGCGCCGUGCGGGGCGAAGGUUGACUCUGCCCCAUUCCUCGGGCAAAGGCUGCUCUGCAUCCCGGCUGUUGUCCGUGCUGCCUUGGUGAGGGCGGGGGGGAGGAGGGGAAGGGGGGCAAAUCCUCCUCCUGCCCCACUAUGGGGGCAGUGUAAAUGCCCAUCGUGCCCAACUGUGGGGGGGGUGAAUCUCUAUCCUGCCCCAUUGCUCCCUGGUGGGAACAGCUGGAGGCAGAUCUCUGUCCUGCUGCAGUAUUGAGACGGGGCUGGGGGGAUUUGGAUACAGCCCCCCCUCUUUAGACUCCCCUUCACCCCACCAGCAGCCCAUUACCUCCAUCAGCAGCUUCCCGUGAGCACCCUUCAAUUACCCCCUCACACUCCUCAUUAGCACUCAUUAAGACUCCAUUCCCACUCCCCCCCCAGUU
rnacentral:lncRNA from 1 species